rnacentral:rRNA from 1 species
UGGGGAAUAUUGCACAAUGGGCGCAAGCUUGAUGCAGCGACGCCGCGUGGAGGAAGAAGGUCUUUGGAUUGUAAACUCCUGUUAAGUGGGAAAAAAGACGUUUAUUUAAAAGAUGAGCGGGAUGAUGGUACCACUAGAGAAAGCACCGGCAAACUUCGUGCCAGCAGCCGCGGUAAUACGAAGGGUGCAAGCGUUAUUCGGAGUAACUGGGCGUAAAGAGCGCAUAGGCGGAUUAUUAAGUUAUUCGUUAAAUCUCCUGGCUUAACCGGGAAAGGGCGGGUAAAACUGGUAGUCUAGAGUGUAAGAGAGAGAAGUGGAAUUCUCGGAGUAGCGGUAAAAUGCGUAGAUCUCGAGAGGAACACCGGAGGCGAAGGCGGCUUCUUGGCUUACAACUGACGCUCAAGCGCGAAAGCGUGGGGAGCAAACAGG